AUGAAAACGGGCUAUAUGGUCUA
rnacentral:siRNA from 1 species